rfam:Alicyclobacillus acidoterrestris ATCC 49025 contig_61, whole genome shotgun sequence.
GGACGUUUAGCUCAGUUGGGAGAGCAUCUGCCUUACAAGCAGAGGGUCGGCGGUUCGAGCCCGUCAACGUCCA